AAGUCGUAACAAGGUUUCCGUAGGUGAACCUGCGGAAGGAUCAUUAUCGAGUUUUGAAAGGGGCUGUAGCUGGCCUUCCGAGGCAUGUGCACGCCCCGCUCAUCCACUCUCUCUACACCUGUGCACGUUUUGCGGGCGGGAGGGCGCAAGCCCUUUUGCCCGUGUCUCACACACACAUACACCUGGUAACAGAAUGUAUAACACCGCGUUCAGUCGCGUUAUCAUAAUACAACUUUCAACAACGGAUCUCUUGGCUCUC
rnacentral:misc_RNA from 1 species